UACGUAGGGUGCGAGCGUUGUCCGGAAUUAUUGGGCGUAAAGAGCUCGUAGGCGGUGUGUCACGUCGGCCGUGAAAACCUGCAGCUUAACUGUGGGCGUGCGGUCGAUACGGGCAUCACUGGAGUUCGGCAGGGGAGACUGGAAUUCCUGGUGUAGCGGUGAAAUGCGCAGAUAUCGGGAGGAACACCGGUGGCGAAGGCGGGUCUCUGGGCAGUAACUGACGCUGAGGAGCGAAAGCGUGGGGAGCGAACAGG
rnacentral:rRNA from 1 species